rnacentral:rRNA from 1 species
UACGUAGGGGCCGAGCGUUGUCCGGAGUUAUUGGGCGUAAAGAGCUCGUAGGUGGCUGAGUAAGUCGGAUGUCAAAUCCCCAGGCUCAACCUGGGACACCACCCGAUACUGCUCUGGCUAGAGUCCGGUAGGGGAGCGUGGAAUUCCUGGUGUAGCGGUGAAAUGCGCAGAUAUCAGGAGGAACACCAGCGGCGAAGGCGGCGCUCUGGGCCGGUACUGACACUGAGGAGCGAAAGCGUGGGUAGCAAACAGG